AUCACGGUAAAUGCUCAUGGCUCAUUCAACAAGGCGUGUCGACCUAACAGAGCUAAGCCCUUUUCAAUGACAGGAACACAGUCUAUAGGUUGUUAUCCAUCACGCCCUUUUCAAUGACAGGAACACAGUCUAUAGGUUGUUAUCCAUCACGCCCUUUUCAAUGACAGGAACAA